rnacentral:pre_miRNA from 1 species
AGCGGAAUUGCUGGGUUGUAUGGUAAGUGUAUUUUAGCUUUGUAAGAAAUUGCCAAACUGUUAACUGAAGUGACUGUACCAUUUUUCAUUCCCACUAGCAGC